UACGUAGGGGCAAGCGUUAUCCGGAUUUACUGGGUGUAAAGGGAGCGUAGACGGCAGAGCAAGUCUGAAGUGAAAGCCUGCGGCCCAACUGCGGGACUGCUUUGGAAACUGCCCGGCUAGAGUGCUGGAGAGGUAAGCGGAAUUCCUAGUGUAGCGGUGAAAUGCGUAGAUAUUAGGAGGAACACCAGUGGCGAAGGCGGCUUACUGGACAGUAACUGACGUUGAGGCUCGAAAGCGUGGGGAGCAAACAGG
rnacentral:rRNA from 1 species